UACAGAGGGUGCGAGCGUUAAUCGGAAUUACUGGGCGUAAAGCGUGCGUAGACGGUUAUUUAAGUCAGAUGUGAAAGCCCCGGGCUCAACCUGGGAAUUGCAUUUGAGACUGAAUAGCUAGGGUGCGGUAGAGGGAAGCGGAAUUUCCGGUGUAGCGGUAAAAUGCGUAGAUAUCGGAAGGAACAUCAGUGGCGAAAGCGGCUUCCUGGACCAGCACCGACGUCAGGCACGAAAGCGUGGGGAGCAAACAGG
rnacentral:rRNA from 1 species